GGGGGUGUUCUGGAUUCGACCCUUGGUUGGAGCGCGCCGUUGCCGUUCGAGGAUGAAGGUUGGCCUCGUUAAUCGUCCUUCAAAAAAAUAACAGGCACAUACGAAGAAAUGCCCUUGGCUGCUUAAAUUAGUAGCCUCGUUUGCCCAGCGACACCUGCUAGCUGGAGCGAACGUCGACAGCAGGCAUAGUGUGCGGAGCGACUCGCGGUUUGCACACCGUACCUUCACCCGGGAGUUGGCCCGAAACUAAGCGCGUGGGAUCGCGUGGUUCGGGCGAGACUAAAAUCUCACUACAACGGUAGACGCGGCGAGUGAAGGUCAGGGGCACGCGGGUUCAACUCCCGCCACCUCCACCA
rnacentral:tmRNA from 1 species